rnacentral:rRNA from 1 species
UACGGAGGAUCCAAGCGUUGCCCGGAAUCACUGGGCGUAAAGGGCGCGUAGGUGGCGCGGGCAGUCAACGGUGAAAGUUCGGGGCUCAACCCUGAAUCGGCCGUCGAUACUCCCGUGCUUGAGCACUGUAGAGGCAGAUGGAAUUCCGGGUGUAGCGGUGGAAUGCGUAGAGAUCCGGAAGAACACCGGUGGCGAAGGCGGUCUGCUGGGCAGUAGCUGACACUGAGGCGCGACAGCGUGGGGAGCAAACAGG